rfam:Schistosoma mansoni strain Puerto Rico chromosome 2, complete genome
AUCCAGCUGACGAGUUCCAAAUAGGACAACAGAACGUGCGUCAAACUGGAU